GUCGGAGCAUGUUAUCAUUCUUGUUAGUUCUGAGUGAAUUCCCUCGGUAUCAUAAUUCUUUCAUCAGUUUGUUCCAUGUUUCUUCUCUAGCCUGAGCCUGACACACUAUUCUAGCUAGACAUGGGUGUGGCUCGUAACACCUGAUGACCAAACGGAUCUAUGGCACCAUCGAAUCUCAAACUUUAACUACCAAAACUAUUAUUUUUUCGUCCUGUAGUCCCUUUUAGAAUUACUAAACGUCCUUUUUUGGGCCGAGAUUUCCAGGAACGCUUUCUCGUGGUUUGUGUGCAAGUAUUUCAAACCAUACAAACCUAAAAAUUAGAAGUCAUUCCAUCUUUAUGCCCGUAGAGCCUUCCAGCAGUUCCUAAACCGCUCCAGUCGGAGCACGUUAUCAUUCUUAUUAGUUCUGAGUGAAUCCCCUCGGUAUAAUAAUUCUUUCAUCAGUUUGUUCCCCGUUUCUUCUCUAGCCUGAGCCUGGCACACUAUUCUAGCUAGACAUGGGUGUGGCUCAUAACACCUGUUGACUAAAUGGAUCGACGGCACCAUCGAAUCUCAAACUUUAACUGCCAAAACUAUUGUUUUUCAUCCUGUAGUCCCAUUUAGAAUUACUAAACGUCCUUUUUUUGGGCCGAGAUUUAGAGGAACGCUUUCUCGGGGUUUGUGUGCAAGUAUUUCAAACCAUACGGACCUAAAAAUUAGAAGUCAUUCCAUCUUUAUUCCCCUAGAGCCUUCCAGCAGUUCCUAAACCGCUCUAGUCGGGGCACGUUAUCAUUCUUGUUAGUUAUGAGUGAAUUCCCUCGGUAUGAUAAUUCUUUCAUCAGUUUGUUCCCUGUUUCUUCUCUAGCCUGAGCCUGACACACUAUUCUAGCUAGACAUGGGUGUGGCUCGUAACACCUGAUGACCAAACGGAUCUACGGCACCAUCGAAUCUCAAACUUUAACUACCAAAACUAUUGUUUUUCAUCCUGUAGUCCCUUUUAGAAUUACUAAACGUCCUUUUUUGGGCCGAGAUUUCCAGGAACGCUUUCUCGGGGUUUGUGUGCAAGUAUUUCAAACCAUACGAACCUAAAAAUUAGAAGUCAUUCCAUCUUUAUUCCCC
rnacentral:lncRNA from 1 species